ACUUAUGUGUUUGUUUCAGUGUAUGUAGUCAACACAAAUGAUGAAUAUAUCAUCUAAAAAUAAAACACAAUUAUAGACAACACAAUUACAAACACAUUUAGUGACCAACUAUUAUCUCCAAGGUUGUUUCAUCCUCCUUUGAUCUUCAUCUGAACCUUUUAGUGGCCAGCUAUUAGCUCCAAGGUUUACUGAUAAAGUUCGCCCUUAACUGUUAGAGUCAUAGGCAACUUUUUCUCCUUUAGCAACUUAUCUUUGCCCAUGUGCGUUAUAUCGUAAUGGAAUUCUCCUUCAAAUUCCAUGACCUGAAUCAUGCAAGUCUGUAGGGUUAUAAACACUUUCGCUAGCUUAUCCACUUCAUAGGCAUCAUAAGCAUGUUCGACGGACUCUAUCAGUUCCUUGAGAGUGUUAGGUGCAUAGCAAAGCGUGAGGGACUGAAUCGAGAAGAAGAAGCAAAGAUCAAGGACUCGUUCAUGUCUGGUGAAUUUGGAGGCUGCUGCAGCAACUUGAUAUCAAGGCCUGAUUCUGCCACGGCUUGUAAGAAAGAAGCAUCAGUUGGAAGGACAUGUGUUCGAGCAUUGUCUUGUUGGAUGAAGAUGGUACCAACAUCGUCAGGCGGCCAUUGGUCUUGAAUAGCUGGAAUGACCUUUUCACAAAGGAAGGUGUUAAAUAUCAAACAGGACACUUUUGGUCAAGUGAGCAUAGGAUCAUGCUAAAUAUGCAUGUUAACAGUAAUGUGAUGAAAAUAGAGCACACGUGGUGUACCUGCAGGUAUAUGUGCUUCUUGUCCAUGUUCCUCUUGUGGACUGAAGUUGAGAUCCAGGAUUGUCCCUCCAUCAUCCUGCUCUUGUGGAGGAGUUAAGUUGAUAUCCAAGAACAGAACCAUCCUCUCCUCUUGUGGACUGGGCUAGCUGCGGAAAAAC